rfam:Papio anubis isolate 1X1155 chromosome 11, whole genome shotgun sequence.
ACAAACAGCCACGCCUGAACAUGCCUGGUUGCAUCUGAUCGAGGAUGCUAAGCAGGGUUGGGCCUGGUUAGUACUUGCAUGGGAGACCAACUGGGAAUACCAGGUGCUGGAGGCU